AUUUGAAGGUUGUGGUAUUUCAUCGAUGAGCAGUGACCAAAGUCUCAAUGAACCUUAACCCAUCAAACCUCGGCGUAAAUUUCUCCGUUGAAGCUGAUUUCUUAUUUGCAGAAGAUUUUUCAUGUUCUUUCUUGUCCUGCAAAAUUAAAU